GGUAAGGUGAGAGACAGCGAUGCUCUCUGCUAGGGCCUGGAGCAAAAACCUUUGUCCCGCAGAUCAUGGAGGGAUCCUAGAAACCCACAUCACACCCAGAGAAGGGCUGGAUGGGGGGCAAUUAUGGACAGAGAAACAACUCUUGGGACUGAUUUCGAUGUAACCAGCAGAUUCCCCCGGCUGAACCCCUCUGCUGGGCUGAAUUUAGCAGCACAAGAGAUAAUCGGCAGAUAACGGCUGAUACCCGGGAGGACAGCGGGAGACGGGCAGGCGGCCGAGGAGAGGGGGAGAAGCCGGAGGCAGCGUUGGGAAGUGGAAUGAACGCGCACACACAGGGGAAAAUACCCCGUGGCCAGAUCCAGACUCUUUCAAUGGGGAAGUACCGGCCCUCGGUGCCGAGCAUCGCGUCGCGGCCGGUGCGCACGGCCAGAGGGCUGCUCCGUGAGGAGCCGAGCCCCAGCCUUCAGCGCCAGCCGGGAGGGGGAGGAUGGAUUUCGGACACUUUCUAUGCCCCCCCAAAACCCCCAGAUGCAAAGAAUGGGACAGGGACAGAGCCCAGCGA